rnacentral:rRNA from 1 species
CAUAGGUUAAUGAGGCGAACCGGGGGAACUGAAACAUCUAAGUACCCCGAGGAAAAGAAAUCAACCGAGAUUCCCCCAGUAGCGGCGAGCGAACGGGGAGCAGCCCAGAGCCUGAAUCAGUGUGUGUGUUAGUGGAAGCGUCUGGAAAGGCGCGCGAUACAGGGUGACAGCCCCGUACACAAAAAUGCACAUACUGUGAGCUCGAUGAGUAGGGCGGGACACGUGGUAUCCUGUCUGAAUAUGGGGGGACCAUCCUCCAAGGCUAAAUACUCCUGACUGACCGAUAGUGAACCAGUACCGUGAGGGAAAGGCGAAAAGAACCCCGGCGAGGGGAGUGAAAAAGAACCUGAAACCGUGUACGUACAAGCAGUGGGAGCACGCUUAGGCGUGUGACUGCGUACCUUUUGUAUAAUGGGUCAGCGACUUAUAUUCUGUAGCAAGGUUAACCGAAUAGGGGAGCCGAAGGGAAACCGAGUCUUAACUGGGCGUUAAGUUGCAGGGUAUAGACCCGAAACCCGGUGAUCUAGCCAUGGGCAGGUUGAAGGUUGGGUAACACUAACUGGAGGACCGAACCGACUAAUGUUGAAAAAUUAGCGGAUGACUUGUGGCUGGGGGUGAAAGGCCAAUCAAACCGGGAGAUAGCUGGUUCUCCCCGAAAGCUAUUUAGGUAGCGCCUCGUGAAUUCAUCUCCGGGGGUAGAGCACUGUUUCGGCAAGGGGGUCAUCCCGACUUACCAACCCGAUGCAAACUGCGAAUACCGGAGAAUGUUAUCACGGGAGACACACGGCGGGUGCUAACGUCCGUCGUGAAGAGGGAAACAACCCAGACCGCCAGCUAAGGUCCCAAAGUCAUGGUUAAGUGGGAAACGAUGUGGGAAGGCCCAGACAGCCAGGAUGUUGGCUUAGAAGCAGCCAUCAUUUAAAGAAAGCGUAAUAGCUCA